CAGUCGCCGCGGGAAUACGUAGGGUGCGAGCGUUAAUCGGAAUUACUGGGCGUAAAGGGCGCGUAGGUGGUUAUUUAAGUGAGAUGUGAAAGCCCCGGGCUUAACCUGGGAACUGCAUCUUAUACUGGGUAACUGGAGUGCAGUAGAGGGUAGUGGAAUUUCCGGUGUAGCGGUGAAAUGCGUAGAUAUCGGAAGGAACACCAGUGGCGAAGGCGGCUACCUGGACUGAGACUGACACUGAGGCGCGAGAGCGUGGGGAGCAAACAGGAUUAGAGACCCCAGUAGUCCCUGUCUCUUAUAC
rnacentral:rRNA from 1 species